UCAGGGCAGAUCCAAGGACCCUCCUGGAGAGUUCUGUAGGAAGCGCUGGGGUUGCAUUUGGAGCCGUGGCUCACCCGAGUCCUUACCUCCAGCAAUUAGUUUAACAAAUCAGCUUUCUCAAGAUCCUCAGCCAUUUGCUGCCUCACAGGACAGUGGAUUCUUAUCUCCAGGGUCCGAGCACAAGAAGUUAAUGAACCGUUUGAACUCCAGUAACCACUGAUCUCUUGGUUCAGACUUUAGGGUUGGUGCCCUCCAUCGAAGCAGAAAGCAGGAAAAGCAGAAGGACCCAGUGGAGGUAAUUUGUCCCUCCAAGGGGGAUUUGUUUCUUCUGGGCUUGGAGGGUAUUUAUCAGGAGAUGCCAGGAUAUGGCUGAGGCUGCCUGGUGACUGCUUGAAUCUUUUCUGUGAAUCUCUGGAUGAGCUUUGUGGGUAGAUAAGAGUUUGGAGUUCCCAUGCCUCAGCCUUGGGUGCUCCUGAGUUUUGGGAUGAGG
rnacentral:lncRNA from 1 species